rnacentral:rRNA from 1 species
AUGAAAAAAGCACAAGAGAAGCUUGGAGCACUAUUGGGGCGAAACCUUGGCUUGUCAAAAGAUUUCAACAACUGUGUCGACUUUAGCUUGACGCCAGAGGAAUUUGAGGCAGGGUGGUGUGAGCUGAUGAUAAAGUAUGAAGCUAUGACUGACUCCCACUUCGAGAAUCUAUACAAAUACAGAGAAACGUGGGUACCCUGUUACUUCAAGCACCAAUUCUUCCCUUUAUUGCAGUCAACUCAAUGCAGCGAGGGGUUCAACACUGUCCUUAAGCGAUAUGUGAACCCACAUAAGUCCAUUUUGAACUUUGUGAAACAAUAUUAG